GUUGUGGCCAACAGAAAAAUUGCCACUUUUCCCUCUUCCAAGAUGUAACUAUUUGAAAACAAGCUGCAUGCACGUAUUGCCACUAUAAAGAAUGCAAAUAUUAAAUCAAAGGAAAUCCUGUUAUCUCCAGAAGGAAGGAGAAAAACUGUAUGUGGCCUAUUUGCCUGCCAAAUAGCAAGAAAUAUGAUAAGAAGUGAUAUUAACAUAAUCACAAGACCAAUGCCCAUCAUCCUCAAAUUAAACUCAGUCCAUUUGGAGCGUGCUAGCUCUGAAACAUUUGAUAGAAAAUUAAAAUAAGCACCAAUUUGCCUUU
rnacentral:misc_RNA from 1 species